UACGGGGGGAGCAAGCGUUGUUCGGAUUUACUGGGCGUAAAGGGCGGGUAGGCGGCCACCGCAAGUCAGUUGUGAAAUCUCCGGGCUUAACCCGGAAAGGUCAACUGAUACUGGAUGGCUUGAUCCGGGAGAGGGAUGCGGAAUUCCAGGUGUAGCGGUGAAAUGCGUAGAUAUCUGGAGGAACACCGGUGGCGAAGGCGGCAUCCUGGACCGGCAUUGACGCUGAGGCGCGAAAGCUAGGGGAGCAAACGGGG
rnacentral:rRNA from 1 species